UACGUAGGGUGCGAGCGUUAAUCGGAAUUACUGGGCGUAAAGCGUGCGCAGGCGGUUUUGUAAGCCAGAUGUGAAAGCCCCGGGCUUAACCUGGGAAUGGCAUUCAGGACUGCGAGGCUUUGAGUGUGGCAGAGGGAGGUGGAAUUCCACGUGUAGCAGUGAAAUGCGUAGAGAUGUGGAGGAACACCGAUGGCGAAGGCAGCCUCCUGGGCCAGCACUGACGCUCAUGCACGAAAGCCAGGGGAGCGAACGGG
rnacentral:rRNA from 1 species